UACGAAGGGGCUAGCGUUGCUCGGAAUCACUGGGCGUAAAGGGUGCGUAGGCGGGUUUUAAGUCAGGGUGAAAUCCUGGAGCUCAACUCCAGAACUGCCUUUGAUACUGAAGAUCUUGAGUCCGGAGAGGUGAGUGGAACUGCGAGUGUAGAGGUGAAAUUCGUAGAUAUUCGCAAGAACACCAGUGGCGAAGGCGGCUCACUGGCCCGGUACUGACGCUGAGGCACGAAAGCGUGGGAGCAAACAGGG
rnacentral:rRNA from 1 species